AGUGAACGCUGGCGGUAGGCCUAACACAUGCAAGUCGAACGGCAGCACAGUAAGAGCUUGUUCUUACGGGUGGCGAGUGGCGGACGGGUGAGGAAUACAUCGGAAUCUACUUUUUUGUGGGGGAUAACGUAGGGAAACUUACGCUAAUACCGCAUACGACCUACGGGUGAAAGCAGGGGAUCUUCGGACCUUGCGCGAUUGAAUGAGCCGAUGUCGGAUUAGCUAGUUGGCGGGGUAAAGGCCCACCAAGGCGACGAUCCGUAGCUGGUCUGAGAGGAUGAUCAGCCACACUGGAACUGAGACACGGUCCAGACUCCUACGGGAGGCAGCAGUGGGGAAUAUUGGACAAUGGGCGCAAGCCUGAUCCAGCCAUACCGCGUGGGUGAAGAAGGCCUUCGGGUUGUAAAGCCCUUUUGUUGGGAAAGAAAAGCAGCAGGUUAAUACCCCGCUGUUCUGACGGUACCCAAAGAAUAAGCACCGGCUAACUUCGUG
rnacentral:rRNA from 1 species